UAUUAGGUCAAACGUGUGUAGAAAAUGCCAUAAAAUAAUGCUACUGAAAUUAAAAUUCAUCUUUAUCCAGCACCUUCUGCUUUACUGGCUCUUAGGCCUGGUCAUGCCAACGCUACAAGGCAAAGUUCUUAAUGAAAGGACUCAUUGAUGAGAAACACUGUGCCGUGCUGAGUCAUAAGCAACUGAUAUCUUUUGGUGCAAGCAGUGUGAGGAGAGGAGUCACCAGAGGGACAGGCAGGGGGCAAGAAAAGACCAACAAGUGACAGG